CAGUUCGGAUCGGAGUCUGCAACCCGACUCCAUGAAGCUGGAUUCGCUAGUAAUCGCGCAUCAGCCACGGCGCGGUGAAUACGUUCCCGGGCCUUGUACACACCGCCCGUCAAGCCAUGGAAGCCGGGAGUGCCUGAAGUGCGUGAGCGCAAGCAGCGCCCUAAGGUAAAACCGGUGACUGGGGCUAAGUCGUAACAAGGUAGC
rnacentral:rRNA from 1 species